CCUACGGGGGGCAGCAGUGGGGAAUAUUGGACAAUGGGGGCAACCCUGAUCCAGCCAUGCCGCGUGUGUGAAGAAGGCCCUCGGGUUGUAAAGCACUUUCAGUGAGGAAGAACGCCUGGUGGUUAAUACCCAUCAGGAAAGACAUCACUCACAGAAGAAGCACCGGCUAACUCCGUGCCAGCAGCCGCGGUAAUACGGAGGGUGCGAGCGUUAAUCGGAAUUACUGGGCGUAAAGCGCGCGUAGGUGGCUUGAUAAGCCGGUUGUGAAAGCCCCGGGCUCAACCUGGGAACGGCAUCCGGAACUGUCAAGCUAGAGUGCAGGAGAGGUAGGUAGAAUUCCCGGUGUAGCGGUGAAAUGCGUAGAGAUCGGGAGGAAUACCAGUGGCGAAGGCGGCCUUCUGGACUGACACUGACACUGAGGUGCGAAAGCGUGGGUAGCAAACAGGAUUAGAUACCCCAGUAGUC
rnacentral:rRNA from 1 species